GUCUACAGCCAUGGUACCCUGAACAAGCCCGAUCCCAUCUGAUCGCGGAAGCUAAGCAGGGUCGGGCCUGGUUAGUACUUGCAUGGGAGACCACCUAGGAAGAUCGGGUGCCGUAGGCG
rnacentral:rRNA from 1 species